rnacentral:rRNA from 1 species
GACGAACGCUGGCGGCGUGCUUAACACAUGCAAGUCGAACGGAAAGGCCCUGCUUUUGUGGGGUGCUCGAGUGGCGAACGGGUGAGUAACACGUGAGUAACCUGCCCUUGACUUUGGGAUAACUUCAGGAAACUGGGGCUAAUACCGGAUAGGAGCUCCUGCUGCAUGGUGGGGGUUGGAAAGUUUCGGCGGUUGGGGAUGGACUCGCGGCUUAUCAGCUUGUUGGUGGGGUAGUGGCUUACCAAGGCUUUGACGGGUAGCCGGCCUGAGAGGGUGACCGGCCACAUUGGGACUGAGAUACGGCCCAGACUCCUACGGGAGGUAGCGGUGGGGAAUAUUGCACAAUGGGCGGAAGCCUGAUGCAGCAACGCCGCGUGCGGGAUGACGGCCUUCGGGUUGUAAACCGCUUUCGCCUGUGACGAAGCGUGAGUGACGGUAAUGGGUAAAGAAGCACCGGCUAACUACGUG